AGAAAGAAGAGGAAAAAACCCUUCCCUCUUAGGAACCGCUUUCCAUGAUUCAAUAAGGUCAGGGCAAACGUGAGCACGGUAAGUCGGCCAGCACUGAGCGGUUUCUCACGGUACAUUAAAAUUUUACAAGAGUGUGGGGCGGUCAUUUCCCUGAUUAGUCUAAAGGCAGGCUCCCAAUUUACAUGACUAGAGCAGAGUGCAUUCUCUGACCGUCCAUAACCAAGAUAAAACAUGCCCAGCCCUUGAAAGAUUUAAAAUACUCGCGCAUUCGUGUCUUCUCCAACCUCCCGAUUUCCAUUAAAAACACAUGCCUCCACCCAGCUUGGUGGUGCCGGUCUGUGAUCCCAGUGUCUAGUAGGGGCAAGAGAAUUAGUAGUUCAAGGCUAACCUGAGCUAAAUAGUAAGACCUAGUCAUGAAUGAAUGAAUGAAUGAAUGAAUGAUCUUUGCUAUGUAGCCAGAGCUGGGCUGGUUAUUUCUGGAGUUUGAAGGAUGAAUUAGAAAGGUUUAAAAAGGCUGUGAUAGCCAAUCAGUCUGAGUUCCUUUAGGGUGAAACUCUCAGUGUAAAUGGGGAACAGACUGAGGUCUACCUGGGGUUUUAUCAAAAUAAAGUUAAAAGGCCACCACCAUGCCUGGUUGGUGGCGACCGAAACUUGAAAUCAUAGCUCUAAAGCAGGAGGAUCACAUGGUCAAAGCGUGGCUCAGCUUCACAGAUGAGUUCAAGGCCAGCCUAUGAAACUUAGUGAGAACCUGUUUUAGUAAAAAAUAAAUUAAAAGGCAGCGUGGGGGCUGGUGCGAUAAAGUGAAUCUGAGAUGAUCCGAAAACCUUUAACACAGGGGCUGCAUUAUCACUUAAGAAACCUCAUCUGUCUCUCUUCAGACAAUGGGAGGAAAGUAUCUCCACCUCUAGGCAGACAUUUCCUGAAGCCUUCGAUGAAAAAGCCAUUGUAUUGUUCCAAUCCAAAGUCUAUUUUUAAAAUCUCAAAUAGGAUGUUUACUUUUGCCUUAAGAUGGAGCAGGGGGCCACGUUUGCGUGCGCGUCUUUUUCCCCAUCCCUUCCUGUGUGGUUCAUCCAUUUCCCUUGUUGGCUUGUUUUUGUUUGUUUGUUUUGUUUUUUUGAGACAGGGUUUCUCUGUGUAACAAAGCCCUGAGAGUGGAAGAAGACACUGCCAUCCAUCAGGUUAUGUUAGUGGCUUUAUGUGAAAAUCAAAACAAAACUGUGUUGUGUACAGAGAUGCACUAGGCAGGAAUUCUGCAGGAGCCAAGCCAGCCCCACCGUCUUCACCAGAUAAGCUGCAAUGUGGAAGAAACCAGGUGAGUGAGUGAGAGCGCUCAUGAGGCAGAACUCUAGAGACUCCCGGAUGCAUAGAAGCAUGCCAGUCAGCUGCAGCGUGCGGACCUCCUUGGGAUCUUUACUUAAACAAACCGUGAAAAGGAUAAAUGACAAAAAGGUUGACCUUUAGGUCAGUUCUGGUAGCACCCAGCUGUAAUCCGAUAAUGUUGGAGUUUGGCACAGGAAAACCGAAUGUCUACUGCCAGCUUCACACGGAGAGGUCUCAAAUUAGUAAAAAUAAAAAUUAUGAUAUUUACACUCAGAAACCCACUUGUAAUAUACUUAAUUGUGUUAAGAAAUUAUUGGGCCUGCAGUGAUGGCUCAGUGGUGAAGAACGCCGGCUGCUCUUCCAGAGGACCCCUGUUCAAUUUCCAGCACCUACAUGGCAGCUCAAAAACAUCUCUAAAUUCCAGAGGAUCCAAUGCCAUCUUCUGGCCACCAUGGGCACAAGGCACAGAACAUGUUACACAGGCAUAAGAUAGUGUCCUUUUAGAGAUAUGUAAGGCUGAAAAAUGUCUGUGACUUUUGUCUGAUACAGAAGACAGAGAAAUGGAUGCGUUAUCGAUGAAACAAGCUGGUAGAACUUAACUAAUAACCAUUACGGCUGAAUGGCAGGUUAAGCAGAGCAAGGAUCCAACAAGAAGAUCAAGACAGAAAUCCAGAGGGGGACAUAGCAGCUGCAGAUGGGACCGCCCUGAAGUGGAAAGGAGCCUUGUGGACAAGCGAGCGGCAGCCUGUGGAGGAGGCUGCUGAGAGACCAGGAGAUUGAUUGUGAAGUGUUGUUUGGUUUGGGAGAUUACAGGUGACCUCAGAAGGAGCAGUCUUGUAAAGUGGCAUAGUAGAAGGAAGCUCGGAAGAGUGAAAAGGCUGAGAACACUUGGAGGUCACUUGGAGAAGUGUGCUGCCCAAGGCUCCGUGACUUAAAGCUGAGACAUAGCUGGAAUGCAGUACGUAAUUAGGUUGGUCUGUGUUUAAAAUGUCUAAGAAAACCAGUAUUUGAAAACAAUUUCCAGAUUAAAUCUCCCUCACAGAAUAAACAAACAAAAAUCUUUCUUUUCCCAACUGCAAACAAACCCAAGCGAAGAAAGCACACUCCUGUGCUCACUGGUGGCAUUCGUGGGCCGCCUCACACCCGGCUCACACAUUCCAAUAACCUAGAGUCAUUUUCCAACAACAUCUCCGCCAUUAUCAGUGGGGAAUUCCGAUUAGAGGCUUGCUCCCUCGUUUUGGGAUGUUUUGAAAUUUACCCAAGUGUCUGAUGAGAUCAUUUGGAGACUGGAUAGUUAUCCCCUUCAUUAUCAAUGUCCUGAGAAUUUUUCAUUUACUCAUUUGUACUCCAAAUCGCUUUAAAGUGCAUCAGAUUCUUCUCCAUAGAAAACUGAUCCGUGGAGAGUGGAGAUUUGGAAAUCCCAGGGAGAUUUUUUUUAAAAGGAGAGCUUUAAGUCAUCAUAGGAGUACCUGCAUAUGCCAAUGGAAAACAGAAAGAUGUAUUAAACGGCUGUGUAAAGAUAGAUCUAGUAAAAAUUCGGAGAUUAUGCUGAAACUAAAUGAGUUCCAAAAUGCCUGCCACUGUUAUUUCUGAAGCCCUUAGGCUAAAACAGAAUCAUCCAUUGCUCCUUUAGCUAGAAUGCCAUUAUAGCAAUGGCUGAGAAGGAGCAUAGAUAGGCAGGCAGGAGCUGGGGUGUAAAUGAGUGAUAGAGAAUUUACCCAGAAUGAUCAGUGCACUGGUGCACUGUUCUGAUCCCUAGAACCAUAAAGAGAUAAGGACAGAGAAGUAAGCUGUGCACCUUACAAAACUAAUGACAAAAGGUGCCUUUAACCUGAACUUGCACCAAGCUGAGAUGAAGACGGAGGGUCUGAAGCCAAGGAAGCCACUUUUCCAGGCUUUGAAUGUUUAGAACUAGACUGGAGUGGUGGGGGCUUCUUAUUGGGAUGUCCUGAGACAUGAGGAAUGGGCCCCCGCCUUCUCCAAGGCAUCCGUAAUUGGUUUGCACAGCUGUCAAGAUCAAACUUGCCAUUCUAAACAAAUGCUCUGAAUUUGGAAUUGUCUACCAUUAUCCUUCCUUGUGCCUUUGUGCUAUGUUUUUGUUGUUUCAUUGUAUUUUAAGUAAAUGUCUUUUUAUGCAGCUACUGAACAGUUUUGUUAUGUCAUUUCCAUAAAAAUCAUGUCUAUCCAGGCGGUGGUGGCACACACCUUUAAUUUCAGCACUCAGAGGCAGAGACAGGUGGAUCUCUGUGCGUUCGUGGCCAGCCUGGCCUACAAAACCAGUUCCAGGACGGCCAGAACUGUUACAUAGAGAAACCCUGUCUCAAAAAAAUAAAAACAAACCAUAUCUAAAUUAAAUUUGUUGAUUUCUACCAAAAUCCAACUUUAAGGAGGGCAAGAGAGCUCAUCUGGAAAAUGUAGCUAUCACCAAGACAAGCUCCUUCCUCAGGUCCACAGAGUCGGGAGAAAGAACUGACUCCUACAAGUUGUCGGCCAACUUCCACAUGUGUUUCAUGGUACGGACGUGCCCCCUUGCCAUAUACGCACAAAUAAAAUAAGGAAAUAUAAUGAAAUCUUAAACAAAAAAAACAACUUCAGUUACAGUUUACAAGUUUCCGUAAUAGGAAUAAUAUUUUCUGGUCUAAUAAUUGUAGAAAUGUCCAAUUCUUCCCCUUCUCGUUUAGCCAUUUAGUCCUUCCCUCUUCCUCUGCUUUAAGCAGCCUCUCCCCAGCACUGUUCCUACAAUUUAAGGAUAUUCAGAUUUAGGUCUAAAUCACUUCAUGUACCCUGGCCUAGGGAUUUUUUCUUCAACAUAUAUAGCUUUGUAUCAUGUUAUGCUGCAAGUUAUA